UACGGAGGGUGCAAGCGUUAUCCGGAUUUACUGGGUUUAAAGGGUGCGCAGGCGGAUAUGUAAGUCAGUGGUGAAAUCUCUAGGCUUAACCUGGAAAUUGCCGUUGAUACUAUAUAUCUUGAAUGCUGUGGAGGUAAGCGGAAUAUGUCAUGUAGCGGUGAAAUGCUUAGAUAUGACAUAGAACACCUAUUGCGAAGGCAGCUUACUACGCAGAUAUUGACGCUCAUGCACGAAAGCGUGGGGAGCAAACAGG
rnacentral:rRNA from 1 species